rnacentral:rRNA from 1 species
CUCUUGAAGAGGCAGCAGUGAGGAAUCUUAGGCAAUGAGCGAAAGCUUGACCUAGCUAGGCCACAUGUGAGAAGAAAGCCUUGUUAGGUUGUAAAUCACUUUGUAAAAUACAUUAAAAUUUUUAGAAAAAAUUUUACAAUCAAAGCUCCGGCUAAUUUCGUGCCAGCAGCCGCGGUAAAACGGGAGGAGCAAGUAUUAUUCUAAUUGACUGGGCGUAAAGGGUGCGUAGGUGGUGUAUCAAGUAGCAAAAAAAUUUUAAAUUUUAUGUUUAUAACAAAUUACUAAACUAAUUCACUAGAGCAUAGGAAAAGAUUUUGGAACUUCGAAAGUAGUAAUAAAAUACGAUGAUAUUCAAAAGAACAUCAAAAGUGAAAACAAUAAUCUGGACUAUAGCUGACACUAAGGCACGAAAGCGUAGGUAUCAAAAGGGAUUAGAUACCCCUGUAGUCUACGCCCUCAACGAUGAGUGUUUGUUUUUGAAUAAGUUUUCAGAGGCGAAGCUAAGGCAUUAAACACUUCGCCUGGGGACUACGGUCGCAAGAUUAAAACUCAAAGGAAUUGACGGGAACCCGCACAAGCGGUGGAGCAUGUGGUUUAAAUCGAAAAAACGCGCAAAACCUUACCAAUUUUUGUAUAGCAUUUUUGUUACAGGUGUUGCAUGGCUGUCGUCAGUCCGUGCCGUGAGGCGUUUGGUUAAUUCCAGCAAACGGACGAAACUUUUAUAUAAUAUAUUCAUAUAUUAUAAACUGCUCGGAAUAUCCUUGAGGAAGGAAAAAAUGACGUCAAGUCCGCAUGACCCUUAUGAAUUGGGCUACUUUCAUGUGCUACAAAGUAAUAUUUACAAUAAGAAGCAAAAGCGUGAGCUGGAGCAAAAUCUUUAAAAAAUAUUUAAUUCGGAUUAUUCUCUGCAACUCGAGAAUAUGAAGUCGUAAUCGCUAGUAAUCGUGAAUCAGAAUUGUCGCGGUGAAUAAGUUCUCGGGUUUUGUACACACCGCCCGUCACACUAUGGGAAUUUACUCUACUUGAAGAUAAAAAUGUUUAAUUUUUUUCCAUGGUAGAGGAAGGACUAGAGUGAAGUCGUAACAAGGUAACCGUAGGGGAACCUGCGGUUG